CGCCGCCGCCUCGGGCCGCCGCGCGCGGCCCCUCCUCCUCUCCUCCCGCCGCCGCCUCGGCCGCUUCUUCCGCUUUUUUUUUUUUUUAAUUUAGAUGUGAUGUUUGUUUCGAGCUCUCGCCUUGCGCACGGUUAAAGUCGCGGCGGCAGAAUUAUCGGAAGAUUCCUGCAGGGGAAAGAAGAGAGAGACGAGUCAGCUCCGGCGCCGGCGGAGCCCCGGCUCUCGGCACCUGGGGAAGGAAAACACGCCCCAACACACGCGCCUCUGCGGGCGCCAAAAAUAACCCGCGCGGGCCGGGCGCCCACCCCGGGGCAACCCGCGCCCACCUCAGGGGCCCCAGGCACCCACCCCGAGAGCUGCUGCAACUGUCAGUCACCCACCCGGAACCCCGAGGGGCAACUACCAAGUAGGCCUCGGGGCCCGGAACAAGGGUCCCGGGGCUCAGGAUCUCGGCCGCUGCGCCUCACUCCUGCCCCAGCCCCGCGCACGGAACUCGUUUCCUUCCCACCCAGUUCGGGACACUCCUCUCUGACUUCCCCAGCGGAGUGACUGGCCUAAAAGUCCAAGCUGAUCGUGUGGCUUCCGUUCGUAAAUAUCUCCCCUGGAUCUCCCUCCCUGGAGCCAGACAAGACUCAAAACUCCGAAGGGAAUGCAGUCCCCGCAGGGCGCAAAGGAGAAACUAAUAGUCCAGAGGCGGGGUGAACUUAAAGACCUGGCUUUCAUUAGCGUGGUGUUGUAACAGACUGCCAAGGAGCCUCUGAGGAAAUGGAUUUACGUACAUAUACAUACUCGCCCUUGCCCCUGAAGCAACAUCAAAUACUUUCAUGUUAUUCUUGGGGGCGUUUUAAUUCUUCCGAUCCUCUGAAUUCGUGUUUUUGUACAUCUCUUUCCAACCUGGGCCUACACACUAACAGAAAUAGUUUUUUACAUCGAAGGACAAUGCUUAGUGUUUUAUUCAGUCUCAGCUCUUUUCUUUCUUUUUUCUCGUUGUGUUUCAAAAUGUUUAUUUUUUCUGUCUUGUGAUAGUUUUGGAGGAAAAAUAUUGAAAUAAUUCAAAUCAGGCUCUUAACUCUGCUUUAUUAAAUUUAUAGUCAUAGUAGCCUGUGAGUAUGCUUCGGGGGAGGAAAAAAGAAUGCUGGGGUCUUUAUUCUUCAAGUUCUCUAAGUUUGAUAUUUUGAAUAAACACCCAGAGGUGUCUCUGCCUUUUGUGUGUUAGUAUCUAAUCUUUCCUGCAUUUACGAGUCACUAGUAAAAUGCUAUGAAAGCCAUAGAUCCCAUGGCUCUCACUGUGAUUUUCCUGGGCUGAGUAGGGACUUAGUGAUGUUUAACCCCCAGUAUGCUUUUUAUAGAAGCACCAGCUGAUUCACCAGUGCCCUCCAAAGUGAGCACCUAUCCAUCUCACUCUGGACUCCCAACAGGUCAUACCAGGGAGCUUCGUUGAAAUAGACUUGGCAUUUAAAUUAAAAUGUUUCCCAAAGCAUCUUGGCAGACCUGUAACUAAUGAUGCCAGAGGCCCAAGGCCUGUGCCAGGUUCCCUUUUAUUCCCAUAAGUGCUUGUCUCCCACAAGCCACUGGUCACACGCCUGCUGAUGUUAUAGAAGCACUUCUUCAUCCCACAAACAGCCCAACUGUAGGUACCCUAUCUCAGACAUGGUGAAGGGAAGCAGCAUGUUCCUCUGACAUGUGCGAUGCUUGGCUCCCAACAGGCUUUUUAUAAUAAGCUAAACUCAGAUUUUUUCAUCACAAAUAGCGU
rnacentral:lncRNA from 10 species